UGGUAGGGACAAUUAUUGGGCUUAAAGCGUCCGUAGCCGGCCCGGCAAGUCUCCCGUUAAAUCCAGCGACCUAAUCGUUGGGCUGCAGGAGAUACUGUUGGGCUAGGAGGCGGGAGAGGCCGACGGUAUUCUCGGGGUAGGGGUGAAAUCCUAUAAUCCCGGGAGGACCACCAGUGGCGAAG
rnacentral:rRNA from 1 species